CCCAAGAGAUCGGGAUAACACCUGGAAACAGAUGCUAAUACCGGAUAACAACAGAUGAUGCCUAUNCAACUGUUUAAAAGAUGGUUCUGCUAUCACUCUUGGAUGGACCUGCGGUGCAUUAGCUAGUUGGUAGGGUAACGGCCUACCAAGGCGAUGAUGCAUAGCCGAGUUGAGAGACUGAUCGGCCACAUUGGGACUGAGACACGGCCCAAACUCCUACGGGAGGCAGCAGCC
rnacentral:rRNA from 1 species